GAUGAACGCUGGCGGUAUGCUUAACACAUGCAAGUCGAACGAAGUCUUAGGACUUAGUGGCGGACGGGUGAGUAACGCGUGAGAAUCUGGCUUCAGGUCGGGGAUAGCCACUGGAAACGGUGGAUAAUACCGGAUGUGCCGAAAGGUGAAAGAUUAAUUGCCUGAAGAUGAGCUCGCGUCUGAUUAGCUAGUUGGUGGGGUAAGAGCUUACCAAGGCGACGAUCAGUAGCUGGUCUGAGAGGAUGAUCAGCCACACUGGGACUGAGACACGGCCCAGACUCCUACGGGAGGCAGCAGUGGGGAAUUUUCCGCAAUGGGCGAAAGCCUGACGGAGCAAUACCGCGUGAGGGAGAAAGGCUCUUGGGUUGUAAACCUCUUUUCUCAAGGAAUAAAAAAAUGAAAGUACUUGAGGAAUAAGCAUCGGCUAACUCCGUGCCAGCAGCCGCGGUAAUACGGAGGAUGCAAGCGUUAUCCGGAAUGAUUGGGCGUAAAGCGUCCGC
rnacentral:rRNA from 1 species